rnacentral:rRNA from 1 species
UGAGGAAUAUUGGUCAAUGGACGCAAGUCUGAACCAGCCAUGCCGCGUGAAGGAUGAAGGCCUUCUGGGUUGUAAACUUCUUUUAUGUGGGAAGAAACCCCUGAUUUCUAUUAGGGUUGACGGUACCAUAGGAAUAAGCACCGGCUAACUCCGUGCCAGCAGCCGCGGUAAUACGGAGGGUGCAAGCGUUAUCCGGAUUCACUGGGUUUAAAGGGUGUGUAGGCGGGUAUUUAAGUCAGUGGUGAAAUCUCCAGGCUCAACCUGGAAACUGCCAUUGAUACUAUAUAUCUUGAAUUCUGUUGAGGUGGGCGGAAUAUGUCAUGUAGCGGUGAAAUGCAUAGAUAUGACAUAGAACACCAAUUGCGAAGGCAGCUCACUAAGCAGACAUUGACGCUGAGGCACGAAAGCGUGGGGAUCAAACAGGAUUAGAUACCCGCGUAGUCC